rnacentral:lncRNA from 1 species
GGAGAUGGGGUUUCCGAAAAGAGGAACUCGUUGAGUGGAGAGAGCGAGUUUGCUGAGAGCGGAAGGGAGAUUGAGACGGAAGCGGUUACGUGGUGUGAGAGAGAUUUCGUUGAGGUUGAUAAGCGAAGGUUGAGGACGAUGAGAGUUGAGAGAGAGAGAUUCUUUGAGUUUGAUAGAGAAUUCGUGAGAUUGUGAGAGACGGAGACGGAAGUGUCUUCUGUUUUGGUUUCCUUUUUUUAUUUUUU